rnacentral:rRNA from 1 species
UACGAAGGGGGCUAGCGUUGUUCGGAUUUACUGGGCGUAAAGCGCACGUAGGCGGAUAUUUAAGUCAGAGGUGAAAUCCCAGGGCUCAACCCUGGAACUGCCUUUGAUACUGGAUAUCUUGAGUGUGGAAGAGGUGAGUGGAAUUCCGAGUGUAGAGGUAAAAUUCGUAGAUAUUCGGAGGAACACCAGUGGCGAAGGCGGCUCACUGGUCCAUUACUGACGCUGAGGUGCGAAAGCGUGGGGAGCAAACA